rnacentral:rRNA from 2 species
CGGCGGACGGGUGAGUAACACGUGGAUAACCUACCUAUAAGACUGGGAUAACUUCGGGAAACCGGAGCUAAUACCGGAUAAUAUAUUGAACCGCAUGGUUCAAUAGUGAAAGACGGUUUUGCUGUCACUUAUAGAUGGAUCCGCGCCGCAUUAGCUAGUUGGUAAGGUAACGGCUUACCAAGGCGACGAUGCGUAGCCGACCUGAGAGGGUGAUCGGCCACACUGGAACUGAGACACGGUCCAG